AAAGACGCGAUGUUGCUAGCUCAUGGAUGAAAGGAGCCACCACGGAAGAAAUGCAUGUGGUUUCUAAAAGCUAGAAAAAAGUAAGGAAUGGAUUUUCCCAUGGAGCCUCCAGAGGACCUGUGUCAGACUCUCACCUACAGAACAGCACUGGUGCUUCUGGUUCUCAGCUCUUCAGACUCGGACUGAAUUACAUCACUGGCUUUCCUAGUUCUCAGGCUUGAAGACAGUAGAUGAUGGGACAUCUUGACCUGCAUAAUUACUUUCUAAAAAACUUCAGAAAAUGAGAAGCUCAUCACCACGUGAAUUUUGAUUUAUAGCUCUGUUUAAGAAAGAACUGUCAGGAGCUUCCCUGGUGGCACAGUGGUUAAGAAUCCACCUGCCAAUGCAGGGGACAUGGGUUCAAGGCCUGGUCCGGGAAGAUCCCACAUGCCGCGGAGCAGCUAAGCCCGUGCACCACAACUACUGAGCCUGCACUCUAGAGCCUGUGAGCCACAACUACUGAGCCCGCGUGCCACAACUACCAAAGCCUGUGUGCCCUAGGGCCUGUGCUCUGCAACAAGAGAAGCCACCACAAUGAGAAGCCCGCGCACUGCAACGAAAGUAGCCCCUGCUCACUGCAAAUAGAGGAAGCCUCGCACAGCAAUGAAGAACC